rnacentral:lncRNA from 1 species
GCCGCACCGGGGAAAUUUCCGACCGCCGAUCGAGGUAAAUUUCAUACCCCCGACUCGUUUUUCCCCACUGAUUCCUCCUAUGGCCAAAUCGAAACCGAAAUCCCGGCCAAACGGCCGGAAUACGCGGCCGAAGCCCAGCGGCGCCGCCGCGCCCCCUCUCGGUUUUUGCCUCCGACGAGGCCCUUCCCGGCCUCCGUUCGAUGCAAUUUUUAUAUCACCGUGAUCACCAUUCUUUUCUCUACAGGUUGACCGGAGCCGAAUCACCAAAACACGAACCUCGCCGGAGAGCCGCUGCACCCGAGAGCGCCGCCACCGGUAAGCUCCGUUUUUCCGUGAUUUUUUGGCCCCCCGAGGGCCCUAGGGUUGUUUUCUGACAAGGACCAAUGCGAGUGUGGCCGAAUUCGGCCGAAAACGGCCGAAAACAGUCAACCCGAGGCGACUCGCCGCCGCCAGCGGCGGCGCCGUCGCCGGAGCACGGCGAAGCCGCCGUGCCGGAGUUGCGAUUUGGGCCGAAAGAGGCCCUGGGCCUAAUUUGGAAUUUUUUUGGAACACGUGCAGGUACUGUUAGUGUGUUUCAGUUCCCCGGGAAAAAAUUCAGGGAAAAUUAGGGACAGCCUGCAGGCGCACUGUGAAUCGUAUUCGGAUCUCGAAAACAAGUAAGGACCCCUC